rnacentral:misc_RNA from 1 species
CAUAAAACUCUUCAACUGCCAAACCUUCCAAUCUCCAACGGCACUGAAACGCUCACUAAGCUUUACCAUGUCAAGUAGCAGCCUCUACUCACCUUCUUUCCUCUCUUCUCCCCUACCUAAAAUUUCUUUGUCUUUCCUCUCUCCUUCAUUGUUCUCUCCAUCCCCACUCUUCCCAUCAAAUCCUUUCUUUUCCCUCCAAAUCCCUCGCUCUUCUCCCUCCCUUUUCAAGUUGACCUCCCACAAUUCCUUCGCUAACACCCACAUUGAUGAAUUCCAAGACGACGAAGCCGAUACAGAGUUUGAUGAGUCUGACACCGAGGACUACCCGAUUGAUAUCGAGGAGCUCCAAGAGGAAGCCGAAGACGCUGUUAGGGAGUACUCUACCUCUUUGUCUCGCCAAUUGAGAAUCGAGGAUGAAACUGGUGAUAGAAAGGAAACCAGAAAGCAGAAGAGGCAAAAAACGACUACUUCAGAAAUCCCCGACAAUCUCCUUCCUAGGGUUGCAAUUGUUGGGAGGCCAAAUGUUGGCAAAUCAGCAUUGUUCAACUGUCUUGUUGGGGGCAACAGGGCAAUUGUGGUGGACGAACCUGGUGUUACUCGGGAUCGUUUGUAUGGUCGAUCCUUUUGGGGAGAAUAUGAGUUUAUGGUGGUGGAUACUGGAGGUGUUCUUACCAUAUCAAACUCACAAGCUAAUGUUAUGGAAGAAUUGGCUAUAACAACUACUAUUGGCAUGGAUGGAAUUCCACUUGCCUCCAGGGAGGCCGCUGUUGCCAGGAUGCCCUCGAUGAUUGAGAGACAAGCUACUGCAGCUGUGGAAGAAUCAUCUGUUAUUAUAUUCCUUGUUGAUGGCCAGGCAGGUCUAACAGCAGCUGAUGUGGAGAUAGCAGACUGGUUAAGAAAAAACUACUCCAAUAAGUUUGUCAUUCUUGCAGUGAACAAGUGUGAAUCUCCCCGUAAAGGAAUCAUGCAAGCAUCAGAAUUCUGGUCACUGGGGUGAGUUGUUAUCUGUUUUCUCUCUCUUAAAUUGUGGGCCUUCAUCAUUGGUGAGUGCAUACAAGUCGUCUCUUUGAUAGAAUGAGUAAUCUAAGAAUUCAACAUGAUCCAGCUUUUGUUAACAGUAUGAGUUUUAUUUUUUGCAAAUUUGAUUAUGAUAAGCAGACCAUGCACUUUUUGGUUGGUGAACCAGGUUCUCACCACUUCCUAUUUCUGCUUUAUCUGGGACGGGAACUGGAGAGCUUUUAGAUCUUGUAUGUUCCCAACUGGCAAAAAUUGAGGGUUUGCAAAAUUUUGAUGAAGAACAAAAUUAUGUUCCUGCAAUUGCAAUUGUUGGCAAACCAAAUGUUGGAAAAAGUAGCAUUUUGAAUGCUUUGGUUGGAGAAGAUAGAACAAUUGUCAGCCCAAUCAGUGGUACUACUCGUGAUGCAAUUGAUACUGAAUUUUCAGGACCAGAUGGCCAGAAGUUUCGGCUUAUUGAUACAGCUGGAAUCAGAAGAAGGGCAGCUGUAGCUUCAUCAGGUAGUCUGACAGAGGCUCUAUCAGUGAAUCGAGCAUUUCGUGCCAUCCGCCGUUCUGAUGUUAUUGCUCUUGUCAUAGAGGCCCUGGCAUGUAUCACAGAACAGGUACUUCAUUUGUAGCUUUUAGCAGAACAGGCUCUGACAUAUUUUUCAAUCUUCAAGUAGGCAUUUUCACUUUCUUGUGGCAUGAAACUUAUUUAUACUAUAUGCAAAGAACAGAUCCGGACAUGAAUUUGCCAAAAUACACAUUAAUGAGAAUGUGGCAGCUGUGUGGGAGCCGGGAGGCUGUUAAAGUUGUCAAUUUGUAUGGGUUCUUAGUUAUUCUUAUUAUUCCUAGUACUGUGUUUUCUUUUCUCAGCAUCUUUCGGUGAACUUGAUACCAAUUCUCUGUAGUCUUUUUCUCCUUUUAUUUAUUUAUUUGCUUUGGUCCCUCAUUUGCCUAAAUACUGUAGGAUUGUAGAAUUGCUGAAAGGAUUGAAAAAGAAGGGAAGGGCUGCCUGAUUGUUGUAAACAAAUGGGAUACAAUACCCAAUAAAAACCAGCAAACUGCAAUACACUAUGAAGAAGAUGUCAGGGAGAAGCUUCGUAUUCUUCAUUGGGCUCCUAUUGUUUAUUCAACUGCAAUUGCUGGUCAUAAUGUUGAAAAGAUCAUUGUUGCUGCUAGUGCCGUUGACAAGGAAAGAUCAAGAAGAUUAAGUACGUCCAUACUGAAUGAAGUGGUACAAGAAGCAUUAGCUUUUAAAUCUCCUCCAAGAACCCGAGGUGGAAAGAGAGGACGUGUUUACUACUGCACUCAGGCAGCUAUCAGGCCACCUACAUUUGUUUUUUUCGUGAAUGAUGCAAGACUCUUUCCUGAGACUUACCGGCGCUAUAUGGAGAAACAACUGAGAUCAAAUGCAGGAUUUUCUGGUACGCCCAUUCGUCUACUCUGGCGCAGCAGAAGAAAAAUGGAAAAAAGUGAAGUCAAGGGUGCAACAAGAACACAACUUAAUCUUACUCCAGGUGGCUGAAAAUGGGUAUUAAAUUACAGGAAAGAUACAGUAGUCGUUCAACAGUUAACUAAAGUUAGAAUUUCUUGCCCGUCAGAACUUUCCUUUGGGAAUAGUUUGUACAGACUGAUAACAUUGCUCCGCAUGAACCCUGAGUUGUAUAAUUCUCGAGGAGAAUCACAAGAUACUUGUGUAUCCUUACCUUUUUGUCUUGUUAUGAGCUGUUAAGCCAUGGCCAAUGAAGGAAGGAGAUUGGCAAGUCAUGUAUUUCAAAUAAAUUUGUGUUAACUGAUAACUAUGACGAUUAUGUGUCAGAAUCUGAAGCUAAUACGUGUGGAUUUUGUAGAUUGACUUCGUUAUGAUAUCAACCUAUUCUAAAAUUUUGGGAAGAG